rnacentral:rRNA from 1 species
UAUUUAAGGUGAUGCCUGCCCAGUGCUAUAUUGUUAACGGCCGCAGUACCCUGACUGUGCUAAGGUAGCAAAAUCAUUUGGCUUUUAAUUGGAGUCGGGAAUGAAUGGACUAAUGGGGUAACACUGUCUCUUUUAUAUUUUGUUGAACUUUUUUAGUAGGUGAAAAUACCUACAGGAGAGAAAAAAGACGAGAAGACCCUAGGAGCUUUUACUAGUUGUUAAAUUAAUUUAACUACCGUUUUUGUUGGGGCAACAUAGGAAUAAUAAUAACCUCCUUUAUUUAUUUGCCGACGUAGUAUGUGUAAUUAAGCUACCCUAGGGAUAACAGCGUAAUUCUUUUAGAGCUUGCGACCUCGAUGUUGGACUAGGAAUUUUACUGGCUAGCCGCCAAUAAAACUGGUUCUGUUCGAAC